CUGCAAUGGGGUUGCUACUGCUGCGGCUAACCAAACAGCUCAUGCUUCUCUGAAGACUUGCAGCAAGGCUUGCUGAGGCUCACAGAAGAUAGCCCCAGAGUCUUAGAAAUUUUUUCUUUUCAAUAAGCAGUCAUCCUUACUUUCCCUCAAGAUGACAAACAGUUCGUUCUUCUGCCCAGUUUAUAAAGAUCUGGAGCCAUUCACG
rnacentral:lncRNA from 1 species